rnacentral:rRNA from 1 species
GAUGAACGCUGGCGGCGUGCUUAACACAUGCAAGUCGAACGAGAAUCAAGUGAUAGAGACUUCGGUCAAUUGACCUUGAGGAAAGUGGCGGACGGGUGAGUAACGCGUGAGGAACCUGCCUAGGAGUGGGGAAUAACAGUCCGAAAGGACUGCUAAUACCGCAUAAUGCAGUUGGGUCGCAUGGCUCUGACUGCCAAAGAUUUAUCGCUCUUAGAUGGCCUCGCGUCUGAUUAGCUAGUUGGUAGGGUAACGGCCUACCAAGGCGACGAUCAGUAGCCGGACUGAGAGGUUGCCGGCACAUUGGGACUGAGACACGGCCCAGACUCCUACGGGAGGCAGCAGUGGGGAAUAUU